AUUGAACGCUGGCGGCAGGCCUAACACAUGCAAGUCGAACGAGUGGCGGACGGGUGAGUAAUGUCUGGGAAACUGCCUGAUGGAGGGGGAUAACUACUGGAAACGGUAGCUAAUACCGCAUACCAUCAGAUGUGCCCAGAUGGGAUUAGCUUGUUGGUGGGGUAACGGCUCACCAAGGCGACGAUCCCUAGCUGGACUGAGAGGAUGACCGGCCAACCUGGAACUGAGACACGGUCCAAAUUCCUACGGGAGCAAGAAGUGGGGAAUAUUGCACAAGGGGGGAAAGCGUGAUGAAGCAAUGCCGCUGGUAUGAAGAAGGCUUUCGGGUUGUAAAGUACUUUCAGCGGGGAGGCGUUAACCGCAGAAGAAGCACCGGCUAACUCCGUGCCAGCAGCCGCGGUAAUAC
rnacentral:rRNA from 1 species